UACGUAGGGUGCGAGCGUUAAUCGGAAUUACUGGGCGUAAAGCGUGCGCAGGCGGCUCUAUAAGACAGAUGUGAAAUCCCCGGGCUCAACCUGGGAACUGCAUUUGUGACUGUAGAGCUGGAGUACGGUAGAGGGGGAUGGAAUUCCGCGUGUAGCAGUGAAAUGCGUAGAUAUGCGGAGGAACACCGAUGGCGAAGGCAAUCCCCUGGACCUGUACUGACGCUCAUGCACGAAAGCGUGGGGAGCAAACAGG
rnacentral:rRNA from 1 species